rnacentral:lncRNA from 1 species
CUUCCCAAAAUCUGAACUUGAUUGAAUCAUAUUCAGCCAAGUAAAUCAGAAUAUAUAUUACACAUGAUACAAAGGUACAAAGCGGAUACAACAAUUUAUAUAUGCAUAUGAAGCUAUGACAUGUACGCACAGCGACUCGACAUCAUCGAUACAACAGUUCAUACACCCAAAUACAUGCUGGAUAUGUUCUCCGUACACCAGUAAAAGGAUAGCACAUAUAGCUUGGUCCGCUAAUUUUGAUCUGUUCUCAUUCACUAUGCCAGGCAAAAGAGAGUACUCAGCGUACACAAAGUUCCUAUCGAUUUUGACCUAAUCAGAUACCUGCAAAGAAACACACCUCAGGGCGCAGCUGGUAGCAGGUGGCAUCCAUUUCCCAUAAUCGUACACACUUUCACCAAUUUUCCACCCAGGAUCCUGUCUUCCUCCUCGGGAUACUUCUUCCAGUCUUUGAAAAAUCUGCACCACAAUCAAAGAUCUUGUGUUUUAUGGCAGCUCACGUUAUGACAACUAUUAAAGAUUCAAUACAACUUAGUCUUAUAUGCUAACCACAAUGUUUGCUUGCCCUUGGACAGUACAACAGAAUAAAAUAGGAGGUGCAAAUCCAGAACAAUGUAUGUUGGGUGACAGGGCAUAAUAAUAACAAAUCUAUUGAGAACAAAGGACCAACUCAAGCUAGCAUGUGUUGAUAUGCCCCUACAGCCGAGCCAUCAUUUCUGUGCACGGUCAUGACCAAAAUGAUAAGGUCAUGCAUAGCCAAUCCUCAAAUGCACGUAAGAGGAAUGUAUAGCAUAUGGGUUAACUAACUAACGAAUAUGAGGAUCACACAAAACACAUCAAAAGUAUGAUUACUUUAAGAGAUACCCAGUCUAGAGCCUAGGCUUCCUGUUCGGAGGGCAAAGCUUCUUUUCCUGUUCGGAGAAAAACAGUGAAAUAAGCAGACACGACAAAGAUAGAUAUUGUUAUAAACUUAUGGGGAAAGCAAAAGUACAUACCUUGAAAUACCAUCGAUCUCAUCUGCUAAGGUAGAAGAAUAUCCACCCAGCAUUGUACUCUUCUAGAAGAACAAAGCAAAAAGGCAUAUUAAAUCAGCAUUCAAAUAAUGGUCUUUGCUCAAAUGAGAUAUGCAAAAGACCUCAACAUUAUUAACCCAUGGCGGACCCCACAUGGCCCCGUUUUAACUAACUCCGGCAAUAGAUAAUAUAUAUGUAUUACUCAAUAUAUCUCAUAAUGGAAAUGUCGAGAGGCAGCAGGGAGAUGAAAUAAUAUAACACUUUUUCAUAUCUUGCAUAAUUCCAAGAGCACGUAUAGCCUUCUCAAAGAAGAAAACAAAAUGGGUAAGAAAACAUCUAGCCAAUAAGUAGAUACAGAUGUAUAGUAAAGGAAAAAACAUUCAGCAUCUCAAUAGAGGAAAAAAUAGCACAGGUGCAUCAGAAAAGCCACAGUUCAAAGAAAUAUAUAUGUGUAUAAAAGCAAAAUCAUGCAAGACAACUCAAGAACUUUUAGCAAACCUACAACUGCAAGAAAAUUCAGAAGGGUAUGUUAAUAAUAAAGGAAGGGCACAGUUUAGGAUCUAAAUAGCGACAUUAGUGUUGUACCCGACGAUAGCUAGUUGUGUGAAAAUGAAACAAUAUCGACAGACGCGGCAUUUAACAAAAAAAAUGUAGGUAGAGCAAUACAAAAUAGGGUUUAAUUAUCCUUUUGCCCUCAGUGGUGUCCAUGUGCUCAGUUUUGCCCUCAGAUGCGAAUUGUCCUCAGUUUUGCCCCUAGUCCGUGCGCACCGACUCGUUCCGUGAACUCUGCCGUCUCCGUCAGGUCAACCUUUUGACUCGGCCCUUACAGGUGGGACCAGGCGGCAGAAACGGCCAAUUUUAUUCAGACCGUUGCACGCGUGGCUUGUGGGACCCAGCAAAGAGCCGUUGAGCAGAGAGCCGUUGGCGGGUGUGCUAUAUAAGUGGGCGACAUCGGCGGUGACCACGGCGACAGAGAGCACGGCGGUGACCACGGCGAGAGAGAGAGCACGGCGGCAGGAAGCUAGCUGUGGAGGGCGCGGCGGUGGGAAGCUAGCAGUGGAGGGCGCGGCGGCGUUGAGAUCCCCUUCGGCUCCGAGCUCCAUGUCUUCCUCAAGCUCCCGCGCCACCUCGCGGAUGCAGAGCCGGGCGCGUGUGGACAUGCCUGUCUUCGUCUGUCCGCGGUGCCGGGCGGGCGUUGAUCGAAGGGUUUCUCAGACACCGAGGAACCAGAAUCAUCCGUUCUACGUGUGCAGCGAGAAUGGGGUAAGAAUCGGGGCAAUUGCACCAUUUUCGUCGUCGGGAUGUUUGAGCAAUGGGUUGAUCUGUUUAGUGUUCAUGCAGGUGACAUGGUUCUUUCUUUGGGUCGAUGCUUUGGCCAAGACUCUGAUGAAUGAACUGCAAGAAGAGCAUGAAGAAUGGUUGCGCAUGCUGCCACGAACGGCAGUGGCCACACCACGAGCCCCGGAAGAAGAGAUGGAUGGCGAAGCACGCACUGACAGAGAGCUAGCUAUUGAGCUUAGGAUGUUGAAGAAGAAGGUUAGGAAGCUUGAAGAUCAAGCACUACCAAUACCCAUUUGCAAAUACUUUUGGGCAUUUGUAGGUAUGGUAAUCGCACUGGUUGUAAUGUUGAAAAUGUAUGGAAAGGCAUGAAUUAUGAAGGAAUUUGUAAUCUUGAAAUUGUUUGAGAAAUUCACCUAGUUUAAAUGUUGGUUAAAGUUGUUUAAAUGUUGAAACAAAAAGAGAAGAAGUGACCAACAUUUAAAUAUGUUGGAAAAAAAGAAAGGAAAUUAGGAAUUCAGAAACUUUUGAUCAAUGAAAUGCAGCUCUCUGCUCUGCCUUUCUGUCCGAAAAAAAGGUUGCUCUUGGGCCAAAUUCAGAGCGUAGAGCCAAGUGCAGGCUAGACUAAUGGGCCAACUGCAUCCAAUUAGGCCCAUUCAGGGGUUUUCUUGCGUAUUUUUUUGUUUUCUAUUCUGAGUUAAUUUAGGCAGUAAAUCAUAAUGCUGAAACUUUUUGUGGAAGCUAAUUGAAUUAUUCCGGAGCCAAACAAUUAAGGUUAGAAAUUUUUCGGAGCUGUUAAUUAAUCCAAUUCAAAUACACCGUGAUUUAAAUCAAAGACCAAAAUGUCAUGGAAAAUGUGCCUCAGCUCUGGUAGAGGUUUACGCCAGGUGCCAAAAUAAAUGAACAUUUUUUAAGGGCAUUACAUUGAGGAAAACAUAAUAUGUAUAAAAAAUGAAGGGUGGAAAAUGCACAAAAAAUUGGUGCGGCUGGGGACUCGAACCCAGGACCGCGUGGGUUUGUGGUGUUUAGGGCUGCGCUGGUAACCGCUAGGACAGAUGGCAAGACUUUAACAUAGGUAGGGAAGGAAGGUAUACAUAGUGAGACUGUGAAUUUUUAAAAAAAAAUAGUGAGACCGUGAAUGUUUGCACACGCGUGAGAGUGGUUUUCCUUUGUUUUGCACUUAAAUUUUGGAGGGUUGGAAGGUUAAAAAUGUAUGUUGCACUACCACAUGAUUUUGGUCAGAGUGGCACUUAGUUUAGGGUUAGAGUGGCACUUGGUUUAGGAUUUAAAGGGAAUAAAUUUACAUGUUAGUUCAUGACUUUUUGUUUGAAUGAAACAGAGGGCUUCUCACCCCCUACGAUUUUCAUUAAUGAAAACCACAAGUUUUUGAACUUCAUGACUUGUUUAGGGAAGAAAUGAUAAGUUUGGGCAUGGACAUUUUUUAACACACAUAAUGAGAUAGAACACACCGUACCAUUACAAUAACUUAGAUAAGUUCAUGGACAGUUCAUGGACACAUGACGAAACAUGACACGACACGACAUGACAUAGAAAAGCAACAAAAUAAAAAACCAAACAUGACGAGCUUGACUCCGGGCUUGAACAUCUUCAUCUUGACCUCCUUCUUCCACCUUGGCCGCGCGCGCCCCUUCAACACCAUCUUCAUCUUCACACCUCCUCCUCGUCGUCGUAGGGAAGGGAGUGCAUCUGGCCUGGAGCGGGGAAGAUGCGCUCGUAGUUGGUGUAGAUGUUGUAGAUGGUGAAGAAGAUGGCCUCGCAGCCGCACCAAAAGACUUGGCCGAGGAGCUCGCGCGCGUCAAAUGGGUUGGUGAAGGUGACCGUGAGCAGAAGGAGGAUGCCGUCGUGGUCACGAACCUCGUUGAGGGUGAACAUCCUCGGCGAGCCCCGUGGGAGGUGGGCAUAGCCGGCUCUGAGGAAGGCGCGGGUGAGUUCGACGGAACCCCUCCACCUUGAAAUAGCCCACACACGGAGCUCCCUCUCCACGAGCACGCCCGGUGGGUAGCGCAGCUCCGGCACCACAGGCAGACGGCGGAAGGUCGGCCCGUUGAAUUGCAUCUUCUUCACUUGGUCUCGCUUGGGGAGGGCUUCGUCGCUUGGGUGUUUGAAGUUGGAGAGAAUCGGAUCUGGCUUGUGGGUGGGAGAGGAAGAGAGGCACCCCAUUUAUAGGCCUGUGGGUGGGAGAGGAAGGGAGAAAGGAUGAGAACGGUGCGUGCGUGAAUCCGGACGCGUGUGUGUAUCCGUUACGUUUUGCACACUUAAAUUUUUGCAUGAAAACGAUGCAUCUUUGACCGGGCAGUGCAUGUGAACCGCUGCCCUGAACCACUGCCCUGAACCACCUAGCUCGCCUUGCUAGCCUAGCUCGCCUAGCUGGCCUAGCGCGCCUCGCUCGCCUCACUCGCAUGCAUGCACGUCGCCGCCUCCCGCGCAUGCGCAAACCCACGUAGCCGCCUCCAUGCAUGCAAGGCCUGGAAAGGCUGAGACGGGCUAUUUACUGCGAUCUCAGGCCCAGACAACGAGACGGCCCAACGGUCCAUCCAGCGCGUCCGAUAUUUGUUAAAAAAACAAUCUCCCAGCCAAUCAGAUUGCAUCUCGCGGAUCGCCCCCCUCCUCCCCGCAGAUUUCUUCUAGAAGGGUUAGAUCGACGGCCCUUGAUCACCGCUAGGGUUAGAUGAACGGUCCUUAUUCAGCGCUAGGGUUAGCGGGGUUUGGGAGGGGUUUGGAGCAGUCAAAGCUAUGUUUGACCAGAUUUCAAAUGAGCAUAAUAAAUUAAAUAAAAAUCAGAAAAAUGAAAAACCUGCGCACAUAGUCUUCUUAUGUCAUAUACUAACGNNNNNNNNNNNNNNNNNNNNNNNNNNNNNNNNNNNNNNNNNNNNNNNNNNNNNNNNNNNNNNNNNNNNNNNNNNNNNNAUUUCAAAUGAGCAUAAUAAAUUAAAUAAAAAUCAGAAAAAUGAAAAAUCUGCGCACUAGUCUUCUUAUGUCAUAUACUAACGAUUUAAAUUGAUAAACAAGCUUUACAUACAUUUAAAUGAUAAGUUCAUGUGUAUUGUAUGAUAUCUCGAGUAUCUCAAACUCUCUGGUAUGAAGUGAAGAGAAGUGUUUUGGGGAAAUGAACAUGAAAAUUUCAAAAAACUCACCACAGCUUCAUUUUGGAGUGACUAAGAAGGAUCCAUGCUUAGUUUUUCAUUUUGAUGUUUUAAACUUGUUUAAAUCUUGGUCAAAGUUAAGUUUGACCAGAAUUCAAAUGAGCAAAACAAAUUUAAAAAAAAUUCAAAAAAUGGAAAAACCAGCGCACAUAGUCUGUACAUAUAGAAUAUAUGUGUAGGAAAGUUAUUUGGCUGAUCUAGAUAAGGUCAACAAAAACCUUGCUUAGAAAUGAGGCCGUUUACCCUACCUUUGGACCCCUCUUUUUAGCACAUUUUUCAUGAAAAUUUCAAAAACCUCACCACAACUUCAUUUUGGAUUGACUAAGAAGUAUCCAGGCUUAGUUUUUCAUUUUGAUGUUUUAGACUUGCUUAAAUCUUGGUCAAAGUUAAGUUUGACCAGAAUUUAAAUGAGCAAAACAAAAUUCAAAAAAAUCAAAAAAAGGAAAAACCAUGUGCUCAUUCAAACAUCAUCCAACAGAUAUUUAAACAUCAUGUCAAACAUACUUCUAACAUAGGUCCAACAUCAUCCAACAGAAAUACAACAUGUCAAGUGAUAAAUGUUUCAUAAUACAACAUCAUUCCUUAUUCAUAAUGUUUCAUAAUUGUUCAUGGAUAGCGUUGGGGCUUCUGUCUGUUUCUUGAGCUUCUUGCCAUCACUUUGCUCCUCGUGCACCUUGUGAUCAUUGUUUCUUCUCUUCUUCUCUUGGUUGUCGGUACCUUGCGCGUCUUCUUCAAACCUACCAUAGAGCUGUGCAAAACAUAAAGGGUCCAAACAUAAACGGUAAUGAGAUCGUGUCAAGUGAUAGAUAUACAGUAGUAUUUGACCCUUGCAAGAUUUACAUACCUAGCAGAACUCCAUUUGGAGCCUCACUUGGAUCACCAUGAUCACCAUUUAGAGCCUCACUUGGAUCACCAUUUGGAGCCUCACUUGGAUCAUCAUUUGGAGCCUCACUUGGAUCAUCAUUUGCAGCCUCCAUGGACAACCCUCAGUCGGACAGUGCACUCUGUAACGUACUUGAUCGCUCUUGUCAACUUUGAAAGUACGUUCUACCUUGAUGCAGUAUGUCACAAGUGCAUUUCUACACUCAUUCAUGGAUGCAAAAACUGUACCUUCUUCCAUUUGAGGGUUCAAAGGGCCCCAUUCAACAGCUGCAAGGUCUUCGUCCUCACCCAUCGCGUCAUCAUCCACACGGACUGCAUUGUGAGCCUCAUCUUGGUUUUCAGCCCGAGGUGCCCGUCGUAAAUUCUGAAUAACAUCAGAAUAUAACUUCUCUUCAUCAACCCCAGAAUUGUAGCCAUCAGGCUCCACUUCAAGGGGGACCCUACUGCUGUUGCCCACACUUGUCGAGCCACCACGUCGUCGUGCACCAACUGAACUGUUCUGGCUAGAGAUGCCAUUACGACGACUUGAUUCUCCCCGAGAUGUUGCACCCGCCAUCCUAGGUCCAAAUGCCUGCUCAAGCACAUCAACUUGCAGCCUCACAUGAAAAUUAUCUUUCUCUUUAUGCCUAACAAACAUGGUAGCUAGCUCUUCAUCAUUACUAACUGUCACCCAAUUCUUUUCACCAUCAUAGUAUUUGUAUACCACUUCAUCAAGCAAACCCCAAGGAUAUUGGCUACAAAUUACCUCCCCAAAUUGUCUGAAACUCCAAUUACUAGCCAUUGGCAACCGAUAAUCAAAACCUCCUUGGUAUUUCUUCUUAUCCUUUGCAUCGAACAUGUACCGGUCCCUUCUAAUGUGCACCAUGAAAGCAAACCGCAACUCCAUCCUAACCGGCGAAAAACAGAGACGCAAUCAGCACACUAAUUGGGCAAACCUACUCGAAUCGAGUGUUCAAAUGCACAACUAAGCUCAAUCUAAACAAGAGGCGAGACUUACCCCUCGGGAACCCAGUCGUGGACGCGGCGGAUCUCCGGCCCGAUGCCUGCCUCGCCAAAUACUCCGGGGUCGCCGCUGCUCACCAUUUCGCCCUAGGGUUCUUCCUCCUAGUUCAAAUAGCUCCAGCAGCCCCCCACCUUUGAGCGCUCCGGCCGGGCGCACGGAAGGAGGCCGCGCCGCGAAUCGAGCAGGUGGCGGGCGCCCCACCCGUGGCGUCGCAGGAAGGUGGUGGGCAUCACAAUGAGCCGUGAAGCGUAGGCGCAGGGAGGUAGCGGCGGAGCAGGCCGUGCAACUGGUGGCGGGGCAGGUGCUGGCCGAGGCGCAGGUGGCGGCGGCGGCGGCGCAGGACAGCCGGCCGGGCGGAUGGGUGUGAGCUAGAAUGAUUUGGGGAUUUAGUUGCAGGGGCCUACAUGUCAGCUCCGGACCCACGUCCACGCGGUCCCACGUGUAAGCUCCGGACCCACAACUACUAACGCCGGCGGACGGAAUGGACUCAAAUAUGGCCGUUUGGCCUCGUCGUAGUUGCUGUGCUCGGACUAGGGGCAAAACUGAGGACAAUUUGCAUCUGAGGGCAAAACUGAGCACAUGGACACCACUGAGGGCAAAAGGAUAAUUAACCCUACAAAAUAAACAUUAAUACAAAUUGACAGGCACAAGCAUAAUCAGAAAAUAUCUACCAAGAGCAUACCGAAUGCAUGACUGUUAUUGUUUCAUUCAUAGGUCCAGCCAUGACUAUUUCAAGUUCUCUAUGGGCAACACAAACUCACCAGGAAAUGAUCAUCAUCAGGCAUCUAUGGGCAAACAUCACCUUGUUUGCUUUGUGCUCAACUACUUUCUGAAAUAGAAAUAUAGAAGUUUCAGCAGCAAGCAGCCAAGUAAAGUGACACAUUAGUAAGGCUGCUAUUUAUAUCCCAUCAUAGCAAAUCAAUCUA